GACGAACGCUGGCGGCGUGCUUAACACAUGCAAGUCGAACGAAGUGGCGAACGGGUGAGUAACGCGUAAUCAACCCGCCCUCCAGAGGGGGAUAACAGUUGGAAACGACUGCUACUAACGCAUACCGAAGGCGGGGAUUGCGUUUGUUUAGCUAGUUGGAGGGGUAACGGCCCACCAAGGCGAAGUUCAGUAGCCGGGCGUGAGGGAUGAAGGGCCACAUUGGGAAUGAGAAACGGGCACGACUCCGACGGGAGGCAGCAGUGGGGAAUCUUCCGAAAUGGACGAAAGUCUGACGGAGCAACGCCGCGGGAGGGAUGACGGCUUUCGGGAUGUAAAGCUCUGUUAAUCGGGACGCGGUACCGGAAUAGAAAGCCACGGCUAACUACGUGCCAGCCGCCGCGGUAAUAC
rnacentral:rRNA from 1 species